AAGCCGCGCAGUUGACCCAGAGGAACAGCCAAAAGAUCUGACAGAGUACAUCGUCACAAGAUGGUACCGAGCACCGGAGAUCAUCCUCGCCGCUAAAUGCUACACGAAGGCGAUUGAUGUUUGGGCUGU
rnacentral:ribozyme from 1 species